UCUCAAGCGUUGUUCGGAUUCAUUGGGCGUAAAGGGUGUGUAGGUGGCGCCGUAAGUCGGGUGUGAAAUUUCGGAGCUUAACUCCGAAACUGCAUUCGAUACUGCGGUGCUUGAGGACUGGAGAGGAGACUGGAAUUCAUGGUGUAGCAGUGAAAUGCGUAGAGAUCAUGAGGAAGACCAGUGGCGAAGGCGGGUCUCUGGACAGUUCCUGACACUGAGACACGAAGGCCAGGGGAGCAAACGGG
rnacentral:rRNA from 1 species